UACGUAGGGGGCAAGCGUUGUCCGGAGUUACUGGGCGUAAAGCGCACGCAGGCGGUCGAUUAAGUUUGGAGUGACAGUUGGUGGCUUAACUGCCAAAGUGCUUCGAAAACUGAUCGACUUGAGGGCUUCAGAGGGACACGGAAUUCCAGGUGUAGCGGUGAAAUGCGUAGAUAUCUGGAGGAACACCGGUGGCUAAGGCGGCAUCCUGGACCAACACUGACACUGAGGAGCGAAAGCUAGGGGAGCAAACGGG
rnacentral:rRNA from 1 species